rnacentral:rRNA from 1 species
CCUACGGGGCGCAGCAGUGAGGAAUAUUGGUCAAUGGACGAGAGUCUGAACCAGCCAAGUAGCGUGAAGGAUGACUGCCCUAUGGGUUGUAAACUUCUUUUAUAUGGGAAUAAAACGUUCCACGUGUGGGAUUUUGUAUGUACCAUAUGAAUAAGGAUCGGCUAACUCCGUGCCAGCAGCCGCGGUAAUACGGAGGAUCCGAGCGUUAUCCGGAUUUAUUGGGUUUAAAGGGAGCGUAGGUGGAUUGUUAAGUCAGUUGUGAAAGUUUGCGGCUCAACCGUAAAAUUGCAGUUGAAACUGGCAGUCUUGAGUACAGUAGAGGUGGGCGGAAUUCGUGGUGUAGCGGUGAAAUGCUUAGAUAUCACGAAGAACUCCGAUUGCGAAGGCAGUUCACUGGACUGCAACUGACACUGAGGCUCGAAAGUGUGGGUAUCAAACAGGAGUAGAUACCCCAGUAGUC